rnacentral:lncRNA from 1 species
ACAAAUUUAGAAUUACCUACUUCAGAAUUUUAAACAGUCAACAAUAGUGUGUUGAAUAUUAUUCAUAUGAUUUAAAAGUCUUUACAAAUUUUUAUUUUUAAACAUACACUAAAAAACCUUAUGAAAGUAAAUACCCAUUCAGGUUCUCAAUCACUUCAAAUACCAAAAAAAAUUAAUCAAGUGCACGAAAACUAUAAUAUAUUUAAAACUACAAUAAAUACAUUAGUCAAUGAAAAAUCCUUUUUAAAAAAUAUUAUGGAUGCAUACAUAAAUAUUAAGAGAAAUGUAUAAAAGAAAAUAAAAGUAACAAUAACUUUAAGAACAAAAUGUAUAAGACUAAGAAUAUUUAUGAUUUGUGGUCUAAGAUAUAUUCAACUUAUUGUCACAAAAAACUUUAUAAAAAAAUACAUACUUUGUUUUAAGAUCAAUAAAAAUCAAGUUAAAAAUUUUAACAUUUUAAGAAAAAUUAAGUAUCAAUAAUAUUAAUAUAAAAUUUUAUCCGAAAACCUCAGCACUAAUUGCAUAAACAAAAAAACAAAAAACCUUAAACCCUAAACCCUAUAAUCCUAAGCAUUAUUCUAAACCAAAUCAUAAACCCAACUUAAACAAAACGCUAAACCAUUCCUACUAUCUAAACCCUAAAUCCUACCUAACCCUAAAACCUACCUAAACCUAGACCUUAACCCUAUCUAACCCUAAACCCUUCCUACUACCUAAACCCUAAACCUAUAUAACCGUAAACCUCCCUAACCCUAAACGUAAACCCUACCUAACCCUAAACCCUAUUGAACCCUAAACCCUACAUAAACCUAACCCUAAUCUCUAAACCCUUCCUACUACUUAAACCCUAAACCUAUCUAACCGUAAACCUACCUAACCCUAAACGUAAACCCUACCUGAUGAGGACCUAAAGUCAGUAGCUAGACCACCAACUCAUGAGAUCAACCAUACAAGCUACAUUGGAGCCAGCAGCGACAUAGGUGCACUCAAAGAAGGAUAUCUUUGCAACCAUAAGGAAUUUAACCGUGAAACCAGUUUCUAUAGAUUCUCAACUCAACCAGAGCACGCAGCGAAUUGGUUUCAUACCAAAAAGAGUAAUGGUUUAGGAGAUAUGCCAGUUACAAGUCAGACUAUCUACACUACAUCCGAAUUGGUUCUAAUUAAGGAAAGUAAUUCUUUGCUUAAGGAGUGUGCAACUCAAACUCACGUGUGGAAACCAGGAGAUUAUUCAUUACAUUUAAGAGCAGUGGGAGAGUUUCUACCAUGCACCAGCAGCCACAUGAUCAAGAUGAAUCCCUUAUUUGUCAACUUACCUUACAUGGAUGCAUUCACACUUGGAGUUAUUGAAGACCAACGGCUCUUUCCCCUUCUGUUCAGGCACGACUUAGAGACUAUCCAGACAUCAAAGGAGAUCCCACGGAUGCAUUUAUUUCUGCCCAAACUCACAAGAUACAAGGAGAGAAUACAACUUCCAUACAUGGACAGAUUCUGCACCAACUAAGUCCAACGGCUAGUUUUUCACUUAUUAUUUCUUUCCAAGUUAUUCUUUUAGGCAUUUGUGUUCUUUUCUAUUUAAACAGAGCUAAGUCUCAUUUGUAAAUCACCCUUGCACGAAAUUAAUAAAGUAUUAUUCAGUUUACAAAGUUUGUCUUUGUUUUGUUCAAUUAGUCUUUAGGUGGAUUCCUUUAGAUUUCUUGUUCGUUUGCUUGUCUCCUUAGUUUGUGGAUUCAUUCUAGGAUACAAGUGUAGGUCUCUGUCUUUGUGUGGAUUCACAUUGGCGCAGGCUUCUGGUCUUAUCAAAGGGAUACUUCCGCAACCCUUUGUGGCGACAAUCGAUCCAUUCAAGCUUGACAACUCUUGUUGCCUUGUGAUCUAGCCUUUGUUAGCUUAGGCUUGUAUCACUACCUAACCCUAAACCCUAUUGAACCCUAAACCCUACCUAACCCUAACCCCAACCUAACCCUAAAACCCUACCUAAAACCUAACCCUAAACCCUACCUAACCCUAACCUUAAAAACUACCUACCCUAAACCCAACCAAACAUAAACCCUACCUAACCUUAAACCCUACUAACCCUAAACCCUACCUAACCCUAACCCUACAUAACCCUAAACCCUACCUAACCCUAGCCCUACAUAACCCUAAACCCUACUAAUUUUACCUAACCUAAACCCUACCUAACCAAAAACCUUUCUAACCCUAAACCCUUUCUAGCCCUAAAUCCUAUCUAACCCUAAACCCUACUUACACUAAACCCUACUAACCCUAAACCCUACUAACCAUAAACCCAACUAACCCUAAACCCUUUCUAACCCUAAAUCCUACCUAACCCUAAACCCUACCUUACCCUAAACCCUAUCUAAUUCUAAACCCUACCUAACCCUAAACUCUACCUAACCCUAAACCCUACCUACCCUAAACCCUUUCUAACCCUAAACCCUACCAAACCCUAAACCUUUCUAACCCUAAACCUGAUCUAACCCUAAACCCUACCUAACCCUAAAUCCUACCUAACCCUAAACCUUACCUAUCCUAAACCCUUUCUAACCCUAAACCCUACCUAACCCUAAACCCCUUCUAACCCUAAACCUGAUCUAACCCUAAAUCCUGCCUAACCCUAAACCCUACCUAAUCCUAAACCCUUUCUAGCCCUAAAUCCUACUAACCCUAAACCCUACUAACCCUAAACCCUGCAAACCUUAAACCCUACCUAAUUCUAAACCCUACCUAACCCUAACCCUACAUAACCCUACACCCUACUUAACCAUAAACCCUACUAACCCUAAACCCUACCUAACCUAAACCCUACCUAACCCUAAACCAUACUAACCCAAAACCCUACUAACCCUAAACCCUACCAAACCUUAAACCCUACCUAAACCUAAACCCUACUAACCCUAACCCUACCGAACCCUAAACCCUACCUAACCCUAUCUAACCCUAAACCCUACCUAACCCUAAACCCUACCUAACCCUAAACCCUACCUACCCUACCUAACCCUAAACCCUACCUAACCCUAAACCCUACUAACCCUAAACCCUCCCUAACCCUAGACCCUACCAACCCUAAACCCUACCUAACCCUAACCCCUACCUAACCCUAAACCCUUUCUAACCCUAAACCCUUCCUAACCCUUAACCCUGCCUAACCCUAAAAACCCUACCUAACUUUAAACCCUUUCUAGCCUUAAAUCCUACUAACUCUAAACCCUACUAACCCUAAACCCUUUCUAACCCUAAACCCUACCUAAUUCUAAACCCUACCUAACCCUAACCUACAUAACCCUAAACCCUACAUAACCAUAAACCCUACUAACCCUAAACCCUACCUAACCUAAACCCUACUAACCCUAAACCCUACCUAACCUAAACCCUACCUAACCCUAAACCCUACCUAACCUAAAACCCUACUAACCCAAAACCCUACUAACCCUAAACCCUACCUAACCCUAAAUCCUAUCUAACCCUAAAUCCUAUCUAACCCUAAACCCUACCUACCCUAAACCCUACCUAGCCAUAAACCCUACUAACCGUAAACCCUACCUAACCCUAAACCCUAUCUAACCCUAAACCCUACUAACCCUAAACCCUUCCUAACUCUACCUACUCUAAACCCUUUUUAACCCUAAACCCUUUUUAACCCUAAACCCUUCCUAACCCUAAACUCUGUCUAACCCUAAAAACCCUACCUAACCCUAAACCCUUUCUAACCCUAAACCCUACCUAACCCUAAACCCUGCUAACCCUUAACUCUGCCUAAACCUAACCCUAAAAUCCUACCUAAACCUAACCAUAAAUCCCAUCUAACCCUAAAACUCUACCAACCCUAAACACUAAAAAAUAAUCUCAAAAUUUAAAGCUAAAAAAUAAUCUCAAAAGUUAAAGCUUAAACUUAAACACUAUAUAAUUAAAUAUUAAUCAAAUAAUUUUUUUAAUUAUAUAAUUAAAAAUAUAAUAUUGAGUUAUUUUAAUAUUUAUUUUAGUAAUGAAUCUAUAUUUAUAUAAUUAUGUUUGCUUCUCUCCUAAGCUAUCCACGUGGAAAGUCACUCUCUGACAGGCCGACACGUGUCUCUGGGUUUUAUUUCUUUGGCUGGACUUGUGUUUAACUUUGAGCUUAUACUAUAAACAAUUGACAUGACUUUUUACUCUUUAAUAUUAUUGAAUGUGUUAAUUAUUUCUUAAUACGUAGUAGAUAAAACAAAAAAACACACAUUACGAUAUGGACGUUAUAUUAUCAUCAAAGCAAUCUUUACCAUAUGUACCUCAUCAUGUGAUAUAAUUAAUAAAGUAACAACGAAUCUAUGAGUUCAACAAAUUUAGAAUUACCUACUUCAGAAUUUUAAACAGUCAACAAUAGUGUGUUGAAUAUUAUUCAUAUGAUUUAAAAGUCUUUACAGAUUUUAUUUUUAAACAUACACCAAAAACCUUAUGAAAGUAAAUACCCAUUCAGGUUCUCAAUCACUUCAAAUACCAAAAAAAGUUUAAUCAAGUGCACGAAAACUAUAAUAUAUUUAAAACUACAAUAAAUACAUUAGUUAAUGAAAAAUCCUUUUUAAAAAAUAUUAUGGAUGCAUACAUAAAUAUUAAGAGAAAUGUAUAAAAGAAAAUAAAAGUAACAAUAACUUUAAGAACAAAAUGUAUAAGACUAAGAAUAUUUCUGAUUUGUGGUCUAAGAUAUAUUCAACUUAUUGUCACAAAAAACUUAAUAAAAAAAUACAUACUUUGUUUUAAGAUCAAUAAAAAUCACGUUAAAAAUUUUAACAUUUUAAGAAAAAUUAAGUAUCAAUAAUAUUAAUAUAAAAUUUUAUCCGAAAACCUCAGCACUAAAUGCAUAAACAAAAAACCCUAAACCCUAAACCCUAUAAUCCUAAGCAUUAUUCUAAACCAAACCCUAAACCCAACUUAAACAAAACGCUAAACCAUUCCUACUAUCUAAACCCUAAAUCCUACCUAACCCUAAAACCUACCUAAACCUAGACCUUAACACUAUCUAACCC